CACAGAACGACUGCGAUUAUAGUAUACUCAGGUACUACUAUAGACCCCAAGACAGGGAAGGAAACCAAAGGAAAAGAAAGAAUGGUCUUCAAUUAUAAACGUCUGAAUGACAAUACUCAUAAAGACCAGUACAGCCUUCCAGGUAUUAAUACUAUUAUACACAGAGUUGGGAGAAGUAAGAUUUUCUCCAAAUUUGAUCUCAAAAGUGGGUUUCAUCAAGUGGCCAUGGAUCCUGAUUCAAUACCAUGGACAGCCUUCUGGGUACCUGACGGGCUUUUUGAAUGACUCGUUAUGCCCUUUGGCCUCAAAAAUGCUCCUGCAGUCCAUUUUUUGAGGACUUUUUUCUGUACCUUUGAAGCAGUUGUCCAUUUUACGCUGAAAGACUGCAGGAGAUAUUAUAUUUUGGGUACCGUUCCUUCCGUCACUGGAAUUGAUUAACUCUUGAUACUCGUUUGGAUAAGUCAUGCGCCACUGUAUCCAGGUUAAUCUUUCUGUUUCACCAAGCAGGUUUUCAAUAUAAUCAGCCUUGUCUUGAGGAUCUGUGAAAUUCUGUAAGGCUACUACAUUCUUAGUUACUGCUUCCCAUCUAAGGAAAACAUCCUCUAUUCUUAGUUACUGCGUCCAAAAGCAAUGGUACGCACUUGGCCAACUUAUUUCAUAAAUGGAUAUAAUUUUCAUAUUGAAAAUUAUGGAAUGGGGAAAACUACAAUGAAUAGUGGAGUUUGUGUUAAGUCAUCCAAUGAUGGAGAUGCAAGCAAUGAUUUUUAUGGUUUGCUGGAUGAAAUUUUAGAGAUAGAAUAUCCUGGCCCAGAAUGCGAGUAAUUCUAUUCAUGUGUUGUUGGUUUAACCCUAUCAGAGGGAUGAAGGUGCAUCCACGAUAUAAUUUGAUUGAAAUAAAUCAUAAGAGAUUGUACAAAAAAUAUGAACCAUUUGUGUUGACACAACAAUCAAUUCAAGUUUUCUAUGCUUCAUAUCCUAGUCUGAAACGUGACAAAGUUGAUUGGUGGGUCGUUUGUAAAACGAAAGCACGGAAAAAAAUUAAGGAACGUUGGGAGGACAUUGCUUAUCAACAAGAGAAAGUUACAAAAUUUCAUACUGUGGAAUAUAUUAUUCUAACGUUACAAGAUCCUAGUGGAGUAGUCAUAAACGUGGAUGCAACUGAAAUUGAUGAUGAUGAGAAGGACGACGACGAUGACAAUAAUGACGAGGAUGAUAAUGACAAUGAGGAUUUUAAUUUUUUGUAAUGGGUGAUUAAAAGUUAUAUCUCAUCGUCGUCUCAGGGGUUUGCGCACUCUCUUAUUUUUAGGAAUUAUGAAUAUGUUUCGACGGGGUGGUCGUAGACGGAGCUCUCAAGUUAUAGCACCGGCAGACACUGUUGCUACGCCCCCAAUAGAGGAUGGAGCUUCGUCGCAUACUCCUAUGCCAAUAUCAUCGCAUACACCUAUGCCAGUACCUUCCUCUAUAGGAUCGUCUUCUCCUUCGGCAGUGCCUUCUCCUUCCACAGUACCUUAACCGAUUGAGUCGCCAGUACCCUCUUUCAUUCCUUCUCGACACUCAGGUGCUGAGAGGCCAGACACUCGAGAGCCUAUAUCCCCAUAUGGAGAUUUGUAAGUAGAAUCAAACUAUUUCAUUUUUUAACUGUUUUAAUUAUUUAACAAUUUUUUUUAUAAUUUAUAAGAGAUUUGAUAAUUCUGUUCGUGUUAUUCACGAGAUUAAUAGAAUCGUGAAUAAUCAUUGGAGAGGAGACUCGAUGAGUUAUACAAGCACUCCAGCAUCGACAAGAGAGCUAUGGUAGAGUGAAUUUAAGCGAUCAUUCACUUGGGAUAUGAUUGAUGAGAUGGAAAUAAAGAGGAUUUUCAUGAAAAAAAAAUGUGGCGAUCACAUUCGUCAUGUACUCAAUCAUGCAAAGUCGAGGGGGAAAAACCACCAUUCAUCACCGAGGAAAAUUGGAUAAGGAUUUCAAAUAUUUGGGAAAGUGAGGAGUUUAAAAAAAGAAGUCACCAGAAUAAAAUAAAUCAAUCUUUUAAUUCUGGAGAAAUGUCUGCGACAUAUGCAGGAAGCUCUAUCAAGUGGAUGAGCAUAGACGUAGAUUGCGAUCAUUCACUUGGGACAUGAUUGAUGAGAUGGAAAUAAAGAGGAUUUUCAUGAAAAAAUAUGGCGAUCACAUUCGUCAUGUACUCAAUCAUGCAAAGUCUAGGGGGAAAAAACCACCAUUCAUCACCGAGGAAAAUUGGAUAAAGAUUUCAAAUUUUUGGGAAAGUGAGGAGUUUAAAAAAAGAAGUCACCAGAAUAAAAUAAAUCAAUCUUUUAAUUCUGGACAAAUGUCUGCGACAUAUGCAGGAGGCUCUAUCAAUGUGGAUGAGCAUAGACGUAGAUUGACCAAAGAAUUGGGAAAGGAGCCUAAUUUUAUAGAUACUUUCACCCGCACAUUUCAGAAAAAAGAUAAGACUUGGAGCGGGGAUAGAGCUAAAGCAAUUAAGGAAAAAUAUGUUGAGUUAGAGGUAACACAGAGAUGUUCAGCUUCUGCUAGUUCUGAUAUUGAGGGGUCUGAGCCGUCUGUUGGUAGUGAUUUCAAUUUAUGGCUACAGGCGAGUGGGGGCCCAAAAGGGGAGGAAAGAUAUUCGGAAUGAGUUCAUUGAGCAGAACCCAUAGAGUUGGUCGUAUAUCUUCUUCCUCCUCCUCACAUACCCAGCAGAUGCAUAACUUGACUGAAGAGAUUUCCUAGUUGAAGGACAUUAUAAAGGACAGGGAUGAAGAAAUGAGAGAAAUGCGUCGACGACAAGAUUUUAUUAUGCGACAUCUUCAGUUAAGUUCUGUUCCAAGUCAAAUUCCUCUCGGUGAUAGUGAUGAUGGUGAUGAUGAUAAUGGCGGUGGUGGUGAUUCUUGAUAAAUUUAUGGAAAAGAAGCACGGAAGGAGACCGAAGCUCCUGAGACAUGACGAUAUGUAUUUUGUUUUCCUUUGAAUGUCUUGUUAUAUUUGUUAUUUGUAUUAUUAUAGAACUUUCAUAUUUGGAUAUUAUGAGUUGUUGAACUUAUUUGGAUUUUGGUUAGUUGUAUAUAUGAAUAUGAUGUGCUAAGUUUUGGGAUGAUUUGUUGAA